rnacentral:rRNA from 1 species
GUACACUCCUGCGGGAGGCAGCAGUGGGGAAUUUUGGACAAUGGGCGAAAGCCUGAUCCAGCAAUGCCGCGUGAGUGAAGAAGGCCUUCGGGUUGUAAAGCUCUUUUGUCAGGGAAGAAACGGUGAGAGCUAAUAUCUCUUGCUAAUGACGGUACCUGAAGAAUAAGCACCGGCUAACUACGUGCCAGCAGCCGCGGUAAUACGUAGGGUGCAAGCGUUAAUCGGAAUUACUGGGCGUAAAGCGUGCGCAGGCGGGUUUGUAAGUCUGAUGUGAAAUCCCCGGGCUCAACCUGGGAAUUGCAUUGGAGACUGCAAGGCUAGAAUCUGGCAGAGGGGGGUAGAAUUCCACGUGUAGCAGUGAAAUGCGUAGAUAUGUGGAGGAACACCGAUGGCGAAGGCAGCCCCCUGGGUCAAGAUUGACGCUCAUGCACGAAAGCGUGGGGAGCAAACAGGAUUAGAAACCCCUGUAGUCCCAUGA